AGACCCGAAACCCGGUGAUCUAGCCAUGGGCAGGUUGAAGGUUGGGUAACACUAACUGGAGGACCGAACCGACUAAUGUUGAAAAAUUAGCGGAUGACCUGUGGCUGGGGGUGAAAGGCCAAUCAAACCGGGAGAUAGCUGGUUCUCCCCGAAAGCUAUUUAGGUAGCGCCUCGUGAAUUCAUCUCCGGGGGUAGAGCACUGUUUCGGCUAGGGGGCCAUCCCGGCUUACCAACCCGAUGCAAACUGCGAAUACCGGAGAAUGUUAUCACGGGAGACACACGGCGGGUGCUAACGUCCGUCGUGAAGAGGGAAACAACCCAGACCGCCAGCUAAGGUCCCAAAGUCAUGGUUAAGUGGGAAACGAUGUGGGAAGGCCCAGACAGCCAGGAUGUUGGCUUAGAAGCAGCCAUCAUUUAAAGAAAGCGUAAUAGCUCACUGGUCGAGUCGGCCUGCGCGGAAGAUGUAACGGGGCUAAACCAUGCACCGAAGCUGCGGCAGCGACACUGUGUGUUGUUGGGUAGGGGAGCGUUCUGUAAGCCUGUGAAGGUGUGUCGUGAGGCAUGCUGGAGGUAUCAGAAGUGCGAAUGCUGACAUAAGUAACGAUAAAGCGGGUGAAAAGCCCGCUCGCCGGAAGACCAAGGGUUCCUGUCCAACGUUAAUCGGGGCAGGGUGAGUCGACCCCUAAGGCGAGGCCGAAAGGCGUAGUCGAUGGGAAACGGGUUAAUAUUCCCGUACUUGGUGUUACUGCGAAGGGGGGACGGAGAAGGCUAUGUUGGCCGGGCGACGGUUGUCCCGGUUUAAGCGUGUAGGUGUGUGUUCCAGGUAAAUCCGGUUCACUUUAACACUGAGGCGUGACGACGAGGCACUACGGUGCUGAAGCAACAAAUGCCCUGCUUCCAGGAAAAGCCUCUAAGCAUCAGGUAACAUCAAAUCGUACCCCAAACCGACACAGGUGGUCAGGUAGAGAAUACCAAGGCGCUUGAGAGAACUCGGGUGAAGGAACUAGGCAAAAUGGUGCCGUAACUUCGGGAGAAGGCACGCUGACACGUAGGUGAAGUGAUUUACUCAUGGAGCUGAAGUCAGUCGAAGAUACCAGCUGGCUGCAACUGUUUAUUAAAAACACAGCACUGUGCAAACACGAAAGUGGACGUAUACGGUGUGACGCCUGCCCGGUGCCGG
rnacentral:rRNA from 2 species